rnacentral:rRNA from 1 species
UGGGGAAUAUUGCACAAUGAGCGAAAGCCUGAUGCAGCGACGCCGCGUGAGGGAUGACGGCCUUCGGGUUGUAAACCUCUUUCAGUAGGGACGAAGCGCAAGUGACGGUACCUGCAGAAGAAGCACCGGCUAACUACGUGCCAGCAGCCGCGGUAAUACGUAGGGUGCGAGCGUUGUCCGGAAUUACUGGGCGUAAAGAGCUCGUAGGCGGUUUGUCACGUCGUCUGUGAAAUCCUAGGGCUUAACCCUGGACGUGCAGGCGAUACGGGCUGACUUGAGUACUACAGGGGAGACUGGAAUUUCUGGUGUAGCGGUGGAAUGCACAGAUAUCAGGAAGAACACCGAUGGCGAAGGCAGGUCUCUAGGUAGUAACUGACGCUGAGGAGCGAAAGCAUGGGUAGCGAACAGG